rnacentral:rRNA from 1 species
UACGUAGGGCGCAAGCGUUGUCCGGAAUUAUUGGGCGUAAAGAGCUCGUAGGCGGUUUGUUACGUCCGCUGUGAAAACCCAGGGCUUAACCCUGGGCUUGCAGUGGAUACGGGCAGACUAGAGGUAGGUAGGGGAGAAUGGAAUUCCCGGUGUAGCGGUGAAAUGCGCAGAUAUCUGGAGGAACACCGGUGGCGAAGGCGGCAUCCUGUACCGGCAUUGACGCUGAGGCGCGAAAGCGUGGGGAGCAAACAGG